AAUCCCUGGCCUUUCUGCAUUCAUUUGAGGGUGAGGACCUCUUUGAUACUUGGAACCAAGGAUUGAUAUAUUCAGGAAAGGACCUAGGCAAAACAGGGAUCAAGACAAUCUGCUGGGGUCUUCGAUAUUUGGGGCCAUCCUCUCAGAAACUGCCAGUACCUUAUCCGUCCUGUGAGACUCUAAUCAAUAAAUUCAACCUACAGACACACAGUGCCAGUUCCUAAGCUUCUAGUCAAUGCAGUUCUAUGUUUGAGCAUAAUACUAGAGCACCCAAGCUGGUUCUAUCUGGCUAAUACUGCACACUUGGGAUUUUGUGCAGUGGUGUUGGGAGAGAGAUUCAAGACAAAUGCAGAAGAUGGGCUUUUCUUAAGGGAAUACUAGAGAAGAUUAUCUUGAUACUGAAUAUGGUCAGAGAAGAACAGAAAAGAGUAAAAUCUGUCUCAGAAUUUGUGCCUCCAAAAAUGUAUAAUAGAUGUUGAGAAAUGGGAAGAAAAUGUUCAAAUGAGAAGGGGAACAA